CCCCACCAAAAUUAUAUUGGACAGUAAGGGUACCUGAUUCUUUAAUUAUGUUUUUACUAGACUGAGAGCAACAUCUAAAAAUCUCAAGGAGACACAUCAACAGAUGAAAACUUGCAUCAUUUGUGGUAAGAAGCAAAGUAUCAUCAGCAUGAGAAAAUGGAAGGUAAAGUACAUAUCAGGAAAGAUUAUUGCUUUUUGUACAUGCCAGCAUUAAUUUUUUAUACAGUUCUUCAGUAUAUUGUUUUAAUUUGUUUAAAACACAAAAGUUGUCGUAAGCAAAAAUUUUAUUUUAUUCAAAUAUAGAAUUUGAUAUUCCACUGCUGCCUAUUCAGAAAAACAUUAAAUAUUUUUAAUGUUUUUUAUUGAGUGAAAGUCUUACCUGACAUCAUUUGACCAACAGCGAAUGGAGGGGGAAUUAUAGCUGUGCCUGAGAACAGAUUCUGGACACACUGCAUAAGCAGACACCACUGUGAAAAGCAAACACGUAAUGUACAUAACUUCUUCAUGUCCUGCAACUGCACCGAAGUGUGUGACUAGCUAUUUGAUAUGGUUUAUUUUCUCCCUGUGGAAAUAAGAAUGUUUGGGUGGCACCUGUACUGCUGGACUCUCCUUCCUCUUGUGACUGCUCUAGUGACAGCUCUUAAAUUACUUUAAAGCUAGAUUGUGCUGCAAGCACACUCAGUCUAGCUUGACUGAGCGAGGUGUUAGAACUGCAGUCAUCUCGUGUAUUGUUCAUUAGCUUAACUUACCCAUGACAUGGUCCCUUUCUUUGCAGGAUUUUGAUGGACAGUUAGAUUUUUCUACUGACUUCACCAGCACAAAUGUAUGGUUUGGGUUAACAAAGCAUCUCAGAUGUGACUUUCUCACAAUAGAAGCUUUUAUCACAAGACGGCUAUUGUUUUGGGCUGCAUCUGUAUCAAAUUUAGGAAUAGAACAUUCUGGGUUUGGCCCUGAACUAAACCUUAGCUUUCUGACUGAGAAUGCUUCAACUUGACGUUUCCAUGGCAGCUGGAUUUGAGUUGCCAGCCUAUCUCUGACAUAAACAGAGCUUUUCACUGUGUCACUGUCGCAGUUGUUGCUAUAAGUAAAAAAUGGUUUUAAAAGCACCUUUGUCUUUUAAGUUUUCCAUGCCAGAUUUAAGUUGAAAAUAAUAUGUAAAAACACAGAAUUUCUACAGAUUUUGUAUUUGUGCUGAAACCCAUGUAGUUUUUGAGAUAUUUCCAAUGAAAAGGUAACUGAGAUAUGUUCUCUUUAGCUUUCUCUUUCCUUCUCUUAAAAAACAACACUUAAAUCUCUGCCUUUUCUUUGUGGGAAAGGUACCUCAAUAUGCAAACACAGACACUGGCUUCACUGUUCCUGGGACAGAUGGAAGUUUAUCCCACCAGGAGCCACUGUAGGAAGUAUGGGAAGAAUGCUGACCUUUUCCUUGCCUAGAUCAAGUUCCUUUUGGUAGUAUUUUUCUGAUGGAAUAGGUGGGGAAAGAACUUCCAUUCAACAUAAAAGUAUGACAAAGCUGUAUACCCAAGGCAGUUCUCUUUUUCACUUUUCAGUCUUUUUUUCCAUUCUUAACUUUCCCACUUGCUCACUUUAUGAUCUCCAGGAAAUCUUCACUUCCCUAUUUUCCUCCCCUUUUCCUUUUUUCCUUUCCCAAUUUUCCACAUGGAUGAUAAGAUCUACCUUCACAUGCUGAGAUAUACUUAUAGAAAGUGUUACACUGACCAAUGUUUUCAUACUUAUUUAUAACCAGAAUUAUAUGAAAAUACAAUUUUUUUACAGAAAUACAAGGGCAGAUACUGAUAGAAGUCACUUCCUUGGUCAGGUACCUAUAUUAUUUGAAGAAUAUUAUAAAACUGUCCAGGCAAAACUGAUUUGAUUCAAGUGGCACUCUUGCACGUAUCGAGGAAUGUAUUUGUCUCAGUUGCAUUUCCUGUGAAUGAUAGGUUCAAAUUAAUUGUCUAUUGCCUUUAUACUGUCACAAAUUACAGAAAUACUUUUACCGGGUUAAUAGAGGGUAUGCAUUACAUUCUUACAGGGAUAAAAGUUGUAUCUGUUCAAACUGCAUUGAUUAAAAGGAAGAAAGAUAGCCACCAA